GUGGCCGGCGUGGCCGGCGAGGCCCGCGCUCACAGGUGUCGCAGUACCUGAGCCGCAGGGGCGCAGCGACUCUGGCUUUGGUUUGCUCCGUCCGGAAGAGGCUGACGGGGCAGAAUGAAGGCAGCCCCAGACGGAGGGCCCUCUGAAGAGGACACGUCUGAGCUGAGACCUGGGAAGCCAGAAGUGGGCGCUGCGUGGGGAGGGGUGGGGAGGUUGAUGCUCCCGCUGGAGGGGCGAUUUGUCGGGAUCGCGGGAAGAACUCGAGUCGGCGGAGAGACGAGUCGCCUGCAGGUGGCGCUGUCGGCCCACCCGUUUCGGUCCAGGACCUUAGCUCCCUGACCAGAGAUGGAACCCGCGCCCUCGGCAGUGAAAGCGCUGAGCCCUAAUCACUGGACCGCCAGGGAAUUCCCUCAUGGUGUCUUUUAUCAUGCAGGUUCAUCAUGCUGGCACUUAAAAUUAUCUGUAUUUUUCUUUGUACUUGUGCUUUUCUGAGUGCCUCCCUGGUUUGAGAAUAUGGCCAGAUGUGUGAUUGGAAUCAGGUCUUCCACUGAAAACAGCUAAAAUGCUGGAUAAAAUGAAAGCACUAUCUGGGGCUUCCCUGGGAGUGCAGUGGUUGAGAAUCUGCCUGCUAAAGCAGGGGACACGGGUUCGAGCCCUGGUCCGGGAAGAUCCCACAUGCCUCGGAGCAACUAAGCCCGUGCGCCACAACUACUGAGUCCGCGUGCCACAACUACUGAAGCCGGCGCGCCUGGAGCCCGUGCUCCGCAACAAGAGAAGCCACCACAGUGAGAAGCCCGCGCACUGCAACAAAGAGUAGCCCCCGCUCGCCACAACUAGAGAAAGCCCAUGCGCAGCAAUGAAGACCCAACGCAGCCAAAAAUGAAUAAAAUAGAUACAACAUUAAAGAAAUAAAAACUGUUAAAAAAGAACACUGAGUCAAUCAUUGAAGAGCUGACAAGAUAGUAAAGAUUUGCUGCAAAUAAAAGAGUUAUCAUCACUAUAAAUAAGGAAUUAAAAUCUGAGGGAAAGUAAGAAGAGCGCUAGAGGCAUUUGCCCACCUGGUGAACUGGAGCUCAGCUGAUGGCCUCAUAAUACAUGGAAGAAGAUGAGAUGAUCAUAUGGUUCUUUUGAAAUGGUGAGCAAACUGAAGGAAGUCAAGUAGCUUGUCCAAAGUCGAAUUCGGACAGCCAACAUGUUUGAGAUAUUUAAAGCUUCCUGGGGCUCAUGAAGGAUGGGAGCAAACCCCUUUACUCCAGAGUCCUUCCCCUUCCCCACGGUAUGAUUUACAGAGCCAUAAGCAGCUUCCCUACCAAGCCUCCUAAAACAAGAGGUUAUGGGUGGGGAUUUCCCUGGUGGCGCAGUGGUUACGAAUCCACCUGCCAACGCAGGGGACACAGGUUCGAGCCCUGGUCCAGGAAGAUCCCACAUGCCGUGGAGCAGCUAAGCCCGUGUGCCACAAUUACUGAGCCUGUGCUCUAGAGCCCGCGAGCCAUAACUACUGAAGCCUGUACGCCACAACUACUGAAGCCUGCACGCCUAGACCCCGUGCUCCGCAACAAGAGAAGCCACCGCGAUGAGAAGCCCGCAGACCGCAACGAAGAGUGGCCCCCGCUCACGGCAACUAGAGGAAGCCUGCGCGCAGCGACAAAGACCCAGCGCAGCCAAAAAUAAAUAAAUAAAUAAAUAAAUAAAUAAGAGGUUAUGGGUGGACCAGAAUUUCCUGAUUAAGACUUUGAAGAUAAAUUGCUAGCUUUGUAGCACAGGGGAAAUGCCACAGGGGCUAUGGGGAUGGUCUCUGGUACCGGACAGCGUGGAUCUGAAUCCCAGACCUUCUGUCGCCUAGCUCUGGGGUCUUAGUGUGUUGAAGCUCUCUGGCUGAACUGGAGAUAAUCAUACUUCUAUUUCCUAGAUUUAUCAUGGGGAGUUGAUGCGUUUCUAAAGCAAAAGCAUGUAUAAGAGUGCUCAGUGCAUAGCAGGCACAUUCAGUAAACGUCAGCGUGCUUAGUAUUCAGUGCCGUUUAUCAGACAUUCCUGGCUUUCUGUCUUCCGGGGACAUGGUAGUGUCCCACUUGUGGCUCGCUAGAGCCAUGACACAAGUUCUGGCCAAUGAAUUUUGGGUAGAAGCGUUGUGUGUCACUUCUGGGCCAGAGCAGUUCAAUGCUCCAGAGUACUUUCCCUUUGUCAGGAUGGCAGAAAUUCCAGAUGGUGGCUGCCCCCUUAUCCUGGGUUUCGGGCUGACGAGGAUGAACAUAAACCUUCGUUGUCUCAGGCUUCUGAGAUUUGAGAUUGUUACUGCAGCAUGAUUGAGCCUCUCCUGACUAACAUGUGAACUACUGUUAAUAUUUCUAGGAUAUACUCCUCAAAGCAUUUAGUAACUCUUUUGAAGGGUCCUUAGUAGGACUUGGAAAUGCUUGCAUUUUUGUAGGAUAACUGACGGUAGCCCCUUUCGGCAUGACCCCCUGUGUAGUGCGCCCCAACUUCAGUGCUCUGCAUUCCGAGUUCUGUCAGUUUGCUUACAGAGUUCUCACUUUCCUGAAUGGAAAGCAAUAAAAGUGACUGCGAAAACAUU
rnacentral:lncRNA from 1 species